UCUUAGGGAUGACCAAAGAAAGGGGUUUCUUCCAAUGGAAUCUACUCCCAGUGAAGAUGCUGUGAA
rnacentral:pre_miRNA from 3 species